rnacentral:sRNA from 1 species
CCUCUCAGUGCUUCAUAGAGUUGAUGGCUUGCGUUUGUUUGCAGCUGAAGCAGGCAUGCCCCGGUGUCAAUGAGAUCUUGCCUGUUUUUACCCCAUUCGUCGGACCCUCCCAAGGUCCCAAUUAUCAUAAUACUCCAAAAUGAUAUGAGAGAGGCCAGAAAAUGUUGCCUCAUGAUUGGUGACUGAAAAGUUGAAAUCCUAUGGGCAAACAGACUGAAUGGGCAUAACGCUUAGCACAAAAUAGAAAAUGCUAAUGGGAUACUCGAAUGAGAAAGAAAAGUCACAUAAAAUGAAGGGAAACGAAUGAUCCGGCAGGGACGGAAAACUAGAGAGUGACGUAAAUAGAAACAUAAA